rnacentral:misc_RNA from 1 species
GAUGAAGAACGUAGUGAAAUGCGAUAAGUAAUGCGAAUUGCAGAAUUCCGUGAGUCAUCGAAUCUUUGAACGCACAUUGCGCCCUCUGGUAUUCCGGAGGGCAUGCCUGUCUGAGCGUCAUUGUCAACCCUCAAGCUCAGCUUGCUGUUGGGUCCCCGUCGUUGCUUUAACGGCGGACCCGAAAGGUAAUGACAGAGUCCGUGAGACCCUAGACGCAGCGAGCUUCUAGCACGCGUCUGGACGUUUUUCGGGCUCGGUCUUAACUAGAUGAUAACUUCCGAUUGACCUCAGAUCAGGUAGGGAUACCCGCUGAACUUAAGCAUAUCAAUAAGCGGAGGA